ACUCCUUAGAGUCGGAAGGGACUGUUUGUGAUGAUCUAGUCUGACUUCCCACAAGGAACAGGGACAUCCACAGCUCGAUCGGGCUGCCCAGGGCCUGAUCCCGCCUCACCUUGGAAGGGACAGGGCAUCCACCGCCUCUCUGGGCAGCCUGUUCCACUGCCCAGAAUCACAGAAUGUCCCGGCUUGGAAGGGACCUCGAGGCCCACGAUUCUCCAGCCCCCCACCACACGCAGGGCCAUCAACCUCCCCAUUUCACAGCAGCCCAGGCUGCCCAGGGCCCCAUCCAACCUGGCCUUGAACACCUCCAGGGAUGGAUGGGGCAUCACAGCCUCUCUGGGCAGCUGUUCCAGCACCUCACCGCUCUCACAGCACAGAACUUCCCCCUGACAUCCAACCUCAAUCUCCCCUCCAUCAAUUUAAAACCAUUUCCCUUUGUCCCUUGCUGUAAAAAGACAUUUUCCUUACAUCUAAACUAAGUUUUCUCUUCUUCUUUCCUUUAGCUCCCUUUAGGUAUCGAAAGGCUGUUACCAGGUCACCUCAGAGCCUUCGCUUCUCUGGGCUGAACAGCCCCAGCUCUCUCAGCCUGUCUUUGGAGGAGAGCUGUUUGAUCCCUUGGUUCUGUUUUUUUUUGUGGCCAUCCUCUGAUGUGAUCCAACAGGUCCAUGUCUCUUCUGCACUGAGGACUCUACAUCCCGACACAAUCUCUAGAUGUGGGAUUGUGCAGAAUAUGGACUCAGGUAAGGGAAGCCUCUUUACUUCACAGGUCCUACAGGAGCUGAUGAGAACUUCAGAAAUAAAGUGGGAGUUCCAUACUCUGUGGCACCCUCCUUCUUCAGGGAAAUUAGAAUGAAUCAAUCAGAUGCUGAAGAAGUACUUGUCAAAAUUGGUUUUAGAGACCAAAUUACCAUGGACAAAGUGUUUGCCUGUAGCCCUUGUCAGAAUACGAACCACUCACAGAAAAGGCUUAGGAGUAUCACCAUACGAAGUGCUGUUUGAGUUGCUGUACUUGGGAAUGGUGAGAUGCCCGCUCUUGAAACCAUGGUGCACUCAUCCCGUGUUGGAGACUGGUCCUAAUACGCGCCUGGCAGAAAUCAAGGCUUCAGCCUGAGUGGGAAGGACUAUUUCAGCGAUGCAGUGUUUCAGAAGAGAGAAAAGCACGGCGGGCGUAAGCUGGAUUUCUGUGGUUGGUAAAGCUGUGCUGAGAAGUGGGCUGACACUAGCACCUGGAAAUGUGUCUGCAGACUUUGCACGCAGAGGAAUGACUUUUCCCUGCAGGUUGGGCUUGUCUAAGGUGAUUUUUUCCACGAGGAAAGAUUUGAAAUGCUGUUUGCUAAUGGAAGAUGGAGAGAGGAAAAUCAAGUGAAAGGCACGCUGUGCACAGCCAGCACAUAGCAUCUGCACAGCUCUCCCCCUGCACAAAGGAGGAGCAGCUCAGUAAGCUUGGCCUGGGCCAUUGAAGGCAGCACACAAACAUCUGGACCAACCCCAAUGGAGCUGCUU